AUAGCAAUAUAUAAAGCCAGACUGUCUAACAUGCGACAGAACAAACAAAUGUCUGUCAAAGUGAAUUUGGUAGAGUUUAUUUGAAUAUAUUUUGGAAUGAGAUGGAAAAGAGCGUGCUAAAUAUCAUUCUCUUCUUAAUUAUUUUUGGUAUGUUUUAUGACAGCAAGGCAGCUCGUGUCAAUACCCUUAAAGAACAUAAUAAUGGUACUCAAAGUAUGAAUGAGACGACAACAAUUAGACCGACAUUUAGCCCAAAAGGCGAUAGUAUACGAUGUUACAAAUGCGCAAGCUGGGAGAACGCAGGGUGUGGUUAUGACAUAUUACCGGAUACGAUUCCAUCAGUGUACUGUUCUUCUGGUGAAUGUACCAAGAUUGAAGUAAGGUACAAUUGGAAAACAGAGAUCAUACGUGGCUGCUCAACAUACACAAGCGCAAAAGUAUUCAAGUGUGAUGAUGACGAUUACUGUAAUAGCGGUACUUCAGUGAAAGCCGUUUGGAAAACAUUCUUUAUAUCAAUUUUGUGCAGCUUUUUCUUUUUGUUAUAGACACGAUAGAGUCAGAUAAAAAUAUCCUGCAAUAGUUUAAAGAGAUUGACCUUUGAUACGGGAUAUAACUAAAAAAUCAUGGAAACAUUUGUGUCGUCAAUUUAUUUGAAGAGAGUUUUAAGUUUCAAAGAUAUAUACAUAUUAUUUUUAAAUUUGAUUCAUACACUAGUAACCCGAAUUUGGCUUGAACGGCCAAAAAGGUAUUAAUGACAUUUAAAAAAGAUUGAUUAUCAUUAGAUAACGAUUGACAAAAAUUAAAAAUUGUUUUUAAUUCAUUUCAAUCCAUAUCAAAUUAUUUUAAUACCAGUCAAAUAGAUUCCCUUGCGGUCAUUCAAGUUAGUUUCAGAUGUGGUUAAGCUGUGUCAAACUAAUUAGCCACGCCCCCGUUAAACCAAAUCAAACUGAUGUUAAAUCCUUUUUUUUUACGUGUAAGUAAAGUUUGGUCUCUUACAAAUACUUGGGGAUUUUUUUUUAAAUGGAAAGAGAAUGCGAAUGAGAAGGUCCUCAUUGCACUCAUAGGCUCGAGCCUAGAAGUGAAAGAUGUUUUAAAAACAAUUCAAUAGAAUAUAAAUAGAUUUAAACAAAUUUGUGAUGAAAAAUUAUCACUUAAAUUUCUGUUAAAUUUGUCAUUAUUAUAUGCAUUGAAUUGCUGUAUUCCUGUAUAUUUACCUUUUCUUUUUUUUUGUACUCGUUAUUUAAAUAGAGACACAUGUGUCUAAGAACAGUAAUUAUUUAUUGUUGACAUAGAAAAAAUCGAUACAUCUUACAUUUUCGGUAACAAAAGCUAUAAUUAUACCGACAUUUAAAAUAGUUUGUAUAUAAAUCAAGUUUGUGUUAAAUAAUAAAAUUGAUAUAGAUAAUGUU